rnacentral:rRNA from 1 species
UGCUGCUUCGCUGACGAGUGGCGGACGGGUGAGUAAUGUCUGGGAAACUGCCUGAUGGAGGGGGAUAACUACUGGAAACGGUGGCUAAUACCGCAUAACGUCGCAAGACCAAAGAGGGGGACCUUCGGGCCUCUUGCCAUCAGAUGUGCCCAGAUGGGAUUAGCUUGUUGGUGAGGUAACGGCUCACCAAGGCGACGAUCCCUAGCUGGUCUGAGAGGAUGACCAGCCACACUGGAACUGAGACACGGUCCAGACUCCUACGGGAGGCAGCAGUGGGGAAUAUUGCACAAUGGGCGCAAGCCUGAUGCAGCCAUGCCGCGUGUAUGAAGAAGGCCUUCGGGUUGUAAAGUACUUUCAGCGGGGAGGAAGGUGUUGUGGUUAAUAACCGCAGCAAUUGACGUUACCCGCAGAAGAAGCACCGGCUAACUCCGUGCCAGCAGCCGCGGUAAUGCGGAGGGUGCAAGCGUUAAUCGGAAUUACUGGGCGUAAAGCGCACGCAGGCGGUCUGUCAAGUCGGAUGUGAAAUCCCCGGGCUCAACCUGGGAACUGCAUUCGAAACUGGCAGGCUUGAGUCUUGUAGAGGGGGGUAGAAUUCCAGGUGUAGCGGUGAAAUGCGUAGAGAUCUGGAGGAAUACCGGUGGCGAAGGCGGCCCCCUGGACAAAGACUGACGCUCAGGUGCGAAAGCGUGGGGAGCAAACAGGAUUAGAUACCCUGGUAGUCCACGCCGUAAACGAUGUCUACUUG